CCUACGGGGGGCAGCAGUGAGGAAUAUUGGUCAAUGGACGAGAGUCUGAACCAGCCAAGUAGCGUGAAGGAUGACUGCCCUAUGGGUUGUAAACUUCUUUUAUAUGGGAAUAAAACGUUCCACGUGUGGGAUUUUGUAUGUACCAUAUGAAUAAGGAUCGGCUAACUCCGUACCAGCAGCCGCGGUAAUACGGAGGAUCCGAGCGUUAUCCGGAUUUAUUGGGUUUAAAGGGAGCGUAGGUGGAUUGUUAAGUCAGUUGUGAAAGUUUGCGGCUCAACCGUAAAAUUGCAGUUGAAACUGGCAGUCUUGAGUACAGUAGAGGUGGGCGGAAUUCGUGGUGUAGCGGUGAAAUGCUUAGAUAUCACGAAGAACUCCGAUUGCGAAGGCAGUUCACUGGACUGCAACUGACACUGAGGCUCGAAAGUGUGGGUAUCAAACAGGAUUAGAUACCUUUGUAGUC
rnacentral:rRNA from 1 species